AAGAUAUCACUGAAUAUUACAUCCAGGCGAGUUCUUAAGUUUAUUUACUGGUCUUUGAGAAUCAAGAUUGAACGUCAUCCAGUUUUUCAUAUCAAAAUGAUAGAUAGAGAUGGAAGCUGGAUUCAUCAAGAACACCAUCAAACUAGCAGAUCAGGUGGAAAAUAUGUCAUUUAUUUUCUACUCCAUGUAAAAGCUGAAUGUUUAGUAAUGGAUAUAGAUGUAUAUUUGCUAUUUAAUGUUUUUCCUGAAAGCUAUUAGAAAGAAAGCACUGUCAACUUGAUCAAGUUGAAGCUUUUAGUGCAAUUACUUGCCUAGGCGUCCUGUAUAGGAACUAAUUGCAUUUUGCCUCCGUAAGUCUCCGGAAGCUGGCUUUCAUCAAUAUCUUGAAGUAAGGUUGCUGUCAGUCGUUUGUUUUCCACAAACAUGAUCUGUGAAGAUGGAAAAUAGUUUGGUGAGGAUGAUGUAAUACAAGUUGUAAUCAAGUCUCUCACAAAGUUAUCCUCGACAUCAACUGCAAGUAUGACUUAACUCUAGAACUGAUUCAUCCACCUUUUAUGUGAAACACAAUUAUUUUAGAACCUCACCUUUUUCUUGGUGUGGUUGUCUAUGAAAGGAUACAAAAUCUUCCAUAAUGUGCAAAAUAUGUAAGGAACAUGAACAAGAAGUACUUUGCCAAGUCUUUCCGGGUAGCAAUCCUGCAAAAUAGAUGUCUCUUAGAUGAUGGACAAAAACAGGGUAAGCCUCUAUCUGAAUAACUAGACAGUAUUGGUGACUAAACCUGCACGAUGGAUAGGGCCGCAAGAUAGGCACGGACGUCACUGUUACAAUAGCCAAAAUUUUGGAGAUCUCCGAUUAUUGUGAACUUCUCUCUUCCUGGU